rnacentral:rRNA from 1 species
CACCGGCGGCUCGAGUGGUGGCCACUUUUAUUGGGUCUAAAGCGUCCGUAGCCGGCUUGGCAAGUCCCCUGGGAAAUCUGGCGGCUUAACCGUCGGGCGUCCAGAGGAUACUGCCAGGCUUGGGACCGGGAGAGGUGAGAGGUACCUCAGGGGUAGGGGUGAAAUCUUGUGAUCCCUGAGGGACCACCAGUGGCGAAGGCGUCUCACUAGAACGGGUCCGACGGUCAGGGACGAAAGCUGGGGGCACGAACCGG